UGCGAAUGGCUCAUUAAAUCAGUUAUCGUUUAUUUGAUAGUACCUUACUACAUGGAUACCUGUGGUAAUUCUAGAGCUAAUACAUGCUAAAAACCUCGACUUCGGAAGGGGUGUAUUUAUUAGAUAAAAAACCAAUGCCCUUCGGGGCUCCUUGGUGAAUCAUAAUAACUUAACGAAUCGCAUGGCCUUGCGCCGGCGAUGGUUCAUUCAAAUUUCUGCCCUAUCAACUUUCGAUGGUAGGAUAGUGGCCUACCAUGGUGGCAACGGGUAACGGGGAAUUAGGGUUCGAUUCCGGAGAGGGAGCCUGAGAAACGGCUACCACAUCCAAGGAAGGCAGCAGGCGCGCAAAUUACCCAAUCCCGACACGGGGAGGUAGUGACAAUAAAUACUGAUACGGGGCUCUUUUGGGUCUCGUAAUUGGAAUGAGUACAAUCUAAAUCCCUUAACGAGGAACAAUUGGAGGGCAAGUCUGGUGCCAGCAGCCGCGGUAAUUCCAGCUCCAAUAGCGUAUAUUAAAGUUGUUGCAGUUAAAAAGCUCGUAGUUGAACCUUGGGUCUGGCUGGCCGGUCCGCCUCACCGCGAGUACUGGUCCGGCUGGACCUUUCCUUCUGGGGAACCUCAUGGCCUUCACUGGCUGUGGGGGGAACCAGGACUUUUACUGUGAAAAAAUUAGAGUGUUCAAAGCAGGCCUUUGCUCGAAUACAUUAGCAUGGAAUAAUAGAAUAGGACGUGCGGUUCUAUUUUGUUGGUUUCUAGGACCGCCGUAAUGAUUAAUAGGGAUAGUCGGGGGCGUCAGUAUUCAGCUGUCAGAGGUGAAAUUCUUGGAUUUGCUGAAGACUAACUACUGCGAAAGCAUUCGCCAAGGAUGUUUUCAUUAAUCAGGGAACGAAAGUUAGGGGAUCGAAGACGAUCAGAUACCGUCGUAGUCUUAACCAUAAACUAUGCCGACUAGGGAUCGGGCGGUGUUUCUAUGAUGACCCGCUCGGCACCUUACGAGAAAUCAAAGUUU
rnacentral:rRNA from 1 species